rnacentral:rRNA from 1 species
UCGAGGAUCUUCGGCAAUGGGCGAAAGCCUGACCGAGCGACGCCGCGUGUGGGAUGAAGGCCUUCGGUUGUAACCACUGUCGUAGAGGAGGAAAUUCUGGGGGUUCGUCCCCUCAGUUUGACCUAUUCUAGGAGGAAGUCAGGGCUAAGUUCGUGCCAGCAGCCGCGGUAAGACGAACCUGACAAACGUUAUUCGGAAUUACUGGGCUUAAAGGGUGCGUAGGCGGCGUGGCAAGUUGGGUGUGAAAUCCCUCGGCUCAACCGAGGAACUGCGCUCAAUACUGCCAUGCUCGAGGGAGACAGAGGUGAGCGGAACUUAGGGUGGAGCGGUGAAAUGCGUUGAUAUCCUAAGGAACACCGGUAGCGAAAGCGGCUCACUGGGUCUUUCUGACGCUGAGGCACGAAAGCUAGGGUAGCGAACGGGAUUAGAUACCCCGGUAGUCCUAGCCUUAAACGAUGAGCACUUGAUUGGAGGGUCCUCCAUAGCCCUCCAGUCGUAGCGAAAGUGUU